GGGAUAUUAGUUAAACAAUAACACUUAAAUUGCAUUUAAAAAUCAUAAAUAUAUAUUUUAUAUAUCUCA
rnacentral:tRNA from 1 species